rnacentral:rRNA from 1 species
GGACCAGUGAGCCGCCUUCGCCACUGGUGUUCCUCCGAAUAUCUACGAAUUUCACCUCUACACUCGGAAUUCCACUCACCUCUUCCAUACUCUAGACACCCAGUAUCAAAGGCAGUUCCAGAGUUGAGCUCUGGGAUUUCACCCCUGACUUAAAUGUCCGCCUACGUGCGCUUUACGCCCAGUAAUUCCGAACAACGCUAGCCCCCUUCGUAUUACCGCGGCUGCUGGCACGAAGUUAGCCGGGGCUUCUUCUCCGGUUACCGUCAUUAUCUUCACCGGUGAAAGAGCUUUACAACCCUAGGGCCUUCAUCACUCACGCGGCAUGGCUGGAUCAGGCUUGCGCCCAUUGUCCAAUAUUCCCCACUGCUGCCUCCCGUAGGAGUUUGGGCCGUGUCUCAGUCCCAAUGUGGCUGAUCAUCCUCUCAGACCAGCUAUGGAUCGUCGCCUUGGUAGGCCUUUACCCCACCAACUAGCUAAUCCAACGCGGGCUCAUCCUUUCCCGAUAAAUCUUUCCCCCGAAGGGCUCAUACGGUAUUAGCACACGUUUCCAUGCGUUAUUCCGUAGAAAAGGGUAGAUUCCCACGCGUUACUCACCCGUCUGCCGCUCCCCUUGCGGGGCGCUCGACUUGCAUGUGUUAAGCCUGCCGCCAGCGUUCGUUCUGA